rnacentral:misc_RNA from 1 species
CUCUUGGCAGCCUCCAACUUAAGAAGAGGUUGCGUGCCUGUUCACCGGUUAUUUUUCCAUCUCUAUCUGUGUCUACCUGCACAAAUACUUUCAUAUACUUCUGAAUACCAGACUGAGUCAUCUUUGGCCAUGGAGGCUGGGAUUGACUGGAAUCUGAAUUCGCAGCUCCAACAGGAAGUCCAGAUGAAGUAACAGCAGAACUUUGAGCUGCAACAACCUGGUUCUGCCUUCCUGCUG